UAGGGCACGGUAGCUCACACCUACAAUCCCAGCUACUUGGGAGGCUGAGGCCCUUCAGCCCAGGAGUUCAAGACCAGCCUGGGCAACACAGCAAGGCCCCACUCUUAAAAAAUUAGCCUGGUAUAGUGGCGCGUACCUGUAGUUCCAGCUACUUCGGAAGCCAAGGUGGGAGGAUCACUUGAGCCUAGGAAGUCAAGGCUGCAGUGAGCUAUGAUUGCACCACUGCACUCCAGCCUGGGCAACAGAACGAGGCCCCAACUCUUAAAAAACAAAAACAAAAACAAAAAAAGUUAGAUUUUAUGUAAAGCACAAUCUCUAAAGGUUAUCCAAGACCACUUUUAAGCUUAAUGAUUAACUAGAAAGACUCACAGAACUCAGAAAAGCUAUGUUCAGUUAUGGCUUAUUACAGUGAAAGGAUACAGUUUUAAAUCAGCAUAAAAUUAGCAUAAACUAUCUGUCAUGGCUGAAGGCCCCAGGUAUACAAAAACUCUUAAAAGGCAGGACAUUUAUUUCAAGGGCUUAUAGGUUAAGGAACUGGUCAAGUGUCAGUUCCUUCUUUGGAAUGUGUACAACCCAAACCUGCUGAAUUAACCCUUUAUUGCACAGUUACAUACUGUAUGAUCCCAUUUUAAUGAAAUGAAAAGUUGUGGGCCCAGCAUGGUGGCUCAUGCCUGUAAUCUCAGCGCUCUGGGAGGCCAAGGCAGGGGUGGGGGAUCGCCUGAGCCCAGGAGUUGGAGACUAACCUGGGCAACAUAGCAAAACCCAGUCUCUACAGAAACUUUUUUCAAAAAAACAGCUGAGCGUGGUGGCAUGCACCUGUGGUCCCAGCUGCUUGGGAGGCUGAGAUGGGAGGAUUGCUUGAGCAUGGGAGGUCAAGGCUGCCAUGAGCUGUGCACUCCAGCCUAGGUGACCAAAAAAAAAAAAAAAAAGUUGUAGUGGAGAACAGAUAAGUGGUUGUCAAGGGUUAGAGCUGGAGGAGGGAAUGACUAUAAUUGACAGCAUGAGAGUGACUUUCGGGGUGAUGGAACAGCUCUGUACCCUGACUGUGGUGAUGUUACAUAAACCUAUACAUGGGAUAAAAUUUCAUGGAAUUGUAUAUACACAUGCACUGCCUGUAAGCAUGAUAUGUAGCCAGCUUUCUGUAUCCCCAGAUCUCACAUCGGCAAAUUCAACCAACCACAGAUGGAAAAUAUUGGGUGGGAAGAGACAAUAAAAAAAUAACAAUACAGGCCAGGCGCAGUGGCUCACACCUAUAAUCCCAGCACUUUGGAAGGCCAAGGUGGGCGGAUCACUUGAGCCUAGGAGUCUG
rnacentral:lncRNA from 1 species